UCGUUUUUAAGUGCAUUAAUUUAUAUUUUUAUCUUUUUUUCGUCUAUUAUGUUUAAGGCUGAAAAUAUUUAUCAAUAUUUUCAAGAAAUUGGAAGUUUGCAGCAUAUCAUGUUUGACAUGUUUCGAUUUGAUUUUCUUAGUAAUUUAUGAUUCGAUAAUCGAAAUUAUGGCGCGAGAUGUCAUUGUAUCGAUAAUCAUAAAUUUAUGAUCGUGACAGUUCAGAUGUGUCAUUUUUUCUUGAGAUUACUAAUUGAUUGUUGGAAUGAUGGAAAAAUGGAAAAGAUUUCAUGAACGCCAUAACGAUUAAUAACUUCAAGAAAUGUUUCAUACUUAAUGACUAUUUCGCAAUGAUAUCUUAUAACAAUAUUGAUGACAGCAUUAACAUCGUAUUUAUUGGUAAGUCAUGUUCAUUUAUGUUUUUUUUUUAUGUUUUCUUUUUAAUAAAUAAAUAUUUGAUGAAUGAAUAAUAAAAUGUAACCUAAUUAAUAGCAAUUUAUAGAAUUUAUUUUUUAUUUAUAAACAUUAUUAUUCUAUGAAUUUUCAAAUGUCGCCAAAUAUGGUCUUUCAGAAGUAGGACAUAAAAAUUUCUCAAAUGGUACAAGCCAUUCAUUGUUUGUUUUUUUACCAAUUGGUUGUAACAGAUUGUU